GGACGAAAGUCUGACCGAGCAACGCCGCGUGAGUGAAGAAGGUUUUCGGAUCGUAAGGCUCUGUUGUAAGUCAAGAACGUGUGUGAGAGUGGAAAGUUCACACAGUGACGGUAGCUUACCAGAAAGGGACGGCUAACUACGUGCCAGCAGCCGCGGUAAUACGUAGGUCCCGAGCGUUGUCCGGAUUUAUUGGGCGUAAAGGGAGCGCAGGCGGUCAGGAAAGUCUGGAGUAAAAGGCUAUGGCUCAACCAUAGUGUGCUCUGGAAACUGUCUGACUUGAGUGCAAAAGGGGAGAGUGGAAUUCCAUGUGUAGCGGUGAAAUGCGUAGAUAUAUGGAGGAACACCAGUGGCGAAAGCGGCUCUCUGGUCUGUCACUGACGCUGAGGCUCGAAAGCGUGGGUAGCGAACAGGAUUAGAUACCCUGGUAGUCCACGCCGUAAACGAUGAGUGCUAGGUGUUAGGCCCUUUCCGGGGCUUAGUGCCGGAGCUAACGCAAUAAGCACUCCGCCUGCGGGGUACGACCGCAAGGUUGAAACUCAAAGGAAUUGACGGGGGCCCGCACAAGCAGUGGAGCAUGUGGUUUAAUUCGAAGCAACGCGAAGAACCUUACCAGGUCUUGACAUCC
rnacentral:rRNA from 1 species